rnacentral:rRNA from 1 species
UACGGAGGGUGCAAGCGUUAUCCGGAUUUACUGGGUUUAAAGGGUGUGUAGGCGGACUUUUAAGUCCGUGGUGAAAUCUCCGGGCUCAACCCGGAAACUGCCAUGGAUACUAUUGGUCUUGAAUAUUGUUGAGGUGGGCGGAACGGGUCAUGUAGCGGUGAAAUGCAUAGAUAUGACCCGGAACACCGAUUGCGAAGGCAGCCCACUAAGCAAUGAUUGACGCUGAGGCACGAAAGCGUGGGGAUCAAACAGGG